rnacentral:rRNA from 1 species
GAACGCUGGCGGCGCGCUUAACACAUGCAAGUCGAACGAGAAGGCGUAGCAAUACGCUUGUAAAGUGGCGAACGGGUGAGGAAUACAUGGGUAACCUACCCUCGAGUGGGGGAUAACCCGCCGAAAGGCGGGCUAAUACCGCGUACGCUUCCGAUCUUGUGGGAUCGGAAGGAAAGCUGUCCCAAGGGGAUGGCGCUCAAGGAUGGGCUCAUGUCCUAUCAGCUUGUUGGUAGGGUAACGGCCUACCAAGGCAUCGACGGGUAGCUGGUCUGAGAGGACGAUCAGCCACACUGGCACUGCGACACGGGCCAGACUCCUACGGGAGGCAGCAGUGAGGAAUAUUGCGCAAUGGGCGAAAGCCUGACGCAGCGACGCCGCGUGGGGGAUGAAGGUCUUCGGAUUGUAAACCCCUUUCGGGUGGGAAGACGGCCCUAGACAACUAGGGCGGACGGUACCACCAGAAGCAGCCACGGCUAACUUCGUGCCAGCAGCCGCGGUAAUACGAAGGUGGCAAGCGUUGUUCGGAUUUACUGGGCGUAAAGGGAGCGUAGGUGGUUAGGUAAGCCCUCCGGGAAAUCUUCAGGCUUAACCUGAAAAGGUCGGGGGGGACUGCCUGGCUAGAGGACGGGAGAGGAGCGCGGAAUUCCCGGUGUAGCGGUGAAAUGCGUAGAGAUCGGGAGGAAGGCCGGUGGCGAAGGCGGCGCUCUGGAACGUUUCUGACACUGAGGCUCGAAAGCGUGGGGAGCAAACAGGAUUAGAUACCCUGGUAGUCCACGCCCUAAACGAUGGACACUAAGUGCCGGCGGGUUACCGUCGGUGCCGCAGCUAACGCAUUAAGUGUCCCGCCUGGGGAGUACGGCCGCAAGGUUGAA